CAGCCAACCCUCACAGGAAGAGGCCUCAAGCCGACUACCGGGCUCAGAUCCUUUGAAGGUCAGGUCGGCUCGGCUUGCGAAACUCACGGUUUGGAUCCCGCCAAUUCGGAAUUCACACGAUCGAUCUCCUGUUUGUCUCUUCUGCCGCUCAACCUCACACCCAAAUAAGAUGGCAACUCACGUGUGCUUCUGGAAUCCCUGACCUUGAUGGCAUUAGCAAAGAACUCGGAAGUCGGUGCUCUUGGUAUGUGUCAUUAAUACCUGCAUGUCAUAUGCAGGAGGAGGGAUAAAGUCUUAAAAGGAAAUGUAA